rnacentral:rRNA from 1 species
GACGAACGCUGGCGGCGUGCUUAACACAUGCAAGUCGAACGGAAAGGCCCCUUCGGGGGUACUCGAGUGGCGAACAGGUGAGUAACACGUGCGUAACCUGCCCUUGACUUCGGGAUAACUUCAGGAAACUGGGGCUAAUACCGGAUAGGAAUCCUUGCUGCAUGGUGGGGGUUGGAAAGCUUCGGCGGUUUUGGAUGGACUCGCGGCUUAUCAGCUUGUUGGUGGGGUAGUGGCUUACCAAGGCUUUGACGGGUAGCCGGCCUGAGAGGGCGACCGGCCAAAUUGGGACUGGGGUACGGCCCAGACUCCUACGGGGGGCAGGAGGGGGGAAUAUUGCACAAUGGGCGGAAGCCUGAUGCAGCAACGCCGCGUGCGGGAUGACGGCCUUCGGGUUGUAAACCGCUUUCAGCAGGGGCGGAGCUUGUGGUGACGGUACCUGCAGAAGAAGCACCGGCUAACUACGUG